AAUGGCAUGUGUUUGCAAUCAAGCUUGCACAUGUUAAACAGGUUAAAAAAUGAUAACAGAUCGUUUUCCAAAGUAAUCUGGAGGAUGUGAAGAACUACUUUUGUAAGAAUCUCUUCUAGGUCUGAUGCUAAUAUUACUCAUUUUCUGCUUCGAUAUGAUUAAUUGUGUUUUUAAUUCAGAGUAAUGGGCACUUACUAGCAUAUGCUGGGUUCUGUGUCUUUUUGGAGGCCAGGAAAAAGCUCAGUUUAAAAGCUCAAAUUAAGGACAUAUGAAAUGGCAGAAGAUUCAGAGUGCCCAUAUAAUGGAAGGAAGCUUAUUGUAAGGUAGUGUGCUGCCUUUGGUCAUAACUGAAAAGGCUGUGCUGGAGAAAAAAGACUGCAAUUUAAUAGAGAAGGGGAGACACAAGGACUUCAAGAUUUGAAACUGGUAUCCCUGGAGGAUAGGGAAAAGUUGCUUCAGUGAGGGAACUACAACACCCUGCGUAACAAUUGAAGAAAAUCAAAGUAAUUCUUUUUUUUUGCUCCUCUUGAAAGGAGGUAAAAGAAAUAUUGGAAAAAUUAAAACAGUAGAGAGUAUUUGGAGGAGAAUAAAUAUGCACCAUACUUAUGAAAUGGAGCAGUCAAAAAUGUUGAAACUGAACUUCAGUGCUCUAUAGCUGGUUAGCACAUGAAUGUGAAUUUCUGGUAACCUGACAUCAAGGAAUAAGAUGGUCAGGGAUGUGAUCUAACAAGGAGGCAAAGUCCAAAUCUGCUUUGGAAGGCCUGUAGACAUGUUACUGAAUGAAUAGAUAACUUCUGCCUCUCAGACUGGAUAACAGGAGAACAAUCACAGACCAAUGUAGUUCCCAACCAGAACUUGUAUCAGACUGGUUUUGAGCAUUAGCAGAACUGGCAGGUGAUAAUCUGCACUCGAUUGUGUAGACUGUUUAUGGACAAGCUCUGUUUCUGGAGCAGGAAAGCUCUAUGUUGUGUUUAACCUGAGCUUAUUAAAAUUGGAGUUAUUUCUUCCUAUAAUUCAUGGACACUUAUGGAAGAGCUCAGAGUUUAGAAAAUCAGAACAUCUAAGCACUCACUAUUUUUUUU